rnacentral:lncRNA from 1 species
AUGCGCCCUGCCUGGCCCCCACCUGGUCCUCUUUCCUUUUCAGGUGGAGGAGAUGCCGCUGUCCCGUCGGUCUGGGGACAGCCCAGCUCCCCGGAUCCCGGGCUGGAGAGACGCGUCGCGGCCCCGGGGCCUGGUGGCACGAGCAGGAAGGAGGACCCGGCGGCGGGCUCUGCCUGGGCUUGCCUGGGCUUGUUCCGAGCCGGGCUGCUUCUCGGUGACCACGCAGAUCGGGGGCAUUUGGAGAUUUUGCGGGAGUCCUGCAGCCAAGCUCCGGGGCAGGAGAGGCCUGGAAGCCUGCACUACCUGCUCGCCCCGUCCCAGCAUGCACCCAGGUGCUGGGGAGAGGCAGGACAGGCCUGUCCCCCGAGUCCCCUCCGGAUGCCGUGGACCGGCCAGCUGUGAGUGUUUCUUUGGCAGUGUCUUAGCUGGUUGUUGUGAGCAAUAGUAAGGAAGCAAUCAGCAAGUAUACUGCCCUAGAAGUGCUGCACGUUGUGGGGCCCAAGAGGGAAGAUGAAGCGAGAGAUGCCCAGACCAGUGGGAGACGCCAGGACUUCGGAAGCUCUUCUGCGCCACGGUGGGUGGUGAGGGCGGCUGGGAAAGUGAGCUCCAGGGCCCCAGGAGCAGCCUGCUCGUGGGUGCGGAAGGAAAAAGGCACAGGGGCUUGGUGUGGGCGGCUUUUGGCUGGGAGAAGUUUGCACGUAGGGAGAAUAGUAGCCAGUGUUUGCAGAGCACUUACUAUGCAGGAAGGCCUGUCCUAAGUAUUGUAAGUGUAUUACAUCAUGUACAAGUGUCUGUGAUUAACCCCGUCUUGCAGAGAAGGAAACAAAAGUACAAACAGAAAAUGUAACUAAGCAUGCAAUUAAUAAAAAGGGACCAGGUUUUGAACGCGAGCAAUCUGGCUCAAGAAUCUGCGCCCAACCACCGGCUCCUGUUCUUAGAGAUGAACGUGGAGUCCUGGAGACUGCUCAACAUUGUGACUUGACUGUGAGCGUACGCGCUCCCUGUCCCCAGGAGACAGAUUUCCAGUGCAAUCAUAGAAAGUGCCUGUGUGGGCUUCGGGAGAUGUGUCUGCCUUGGGGAGAAUUUUCCUUUUCAGCUAGAGCCAGGCCCAGGAUGUUGACGUCAGUGAGACGCUGGUGACGUUCUCUGCUCCAGUGGCUGAUGAGAAAAGUUCCUCCAAGCCAGCUCAGUUGAGAAGAAUUAAGUUCUCUGGGUCCCACUGGCUUCACCUACAGAUGCCAACUUUGAGGCCAGUGAACUGUGAGGCCAGCUGGGCUGAUUGCCAUGGCAACAGGAAUUGGACCAAAGUCACCGGAGGAUGGAGAGGGAAGACACAGUGGUGGCUUCCCCAGGUCUUGGACCACAAGGCACAGCCGUGGCCUCCAGGAACCCUGAGAUAACCCGUUAGUGGGUCCUGCACUCCAACAGAGCUCAUGCAAUCAGCCUCUGGUCCUCACCCUCCUCCCAUUGGUGUCGUUGUGCUCUCUAACAUUGACAUUGAGCAGUGAGUGCUCCAGAUCUUGUUCCACUGAUUUUUUCCACUGUUCUCCAGUCUAGCACUUUCUGAAAUUCAUCCAAGCCUAAGAGGUGACGCCAAACGUAAGUGUCUUACACCUCGGACCCCAUGGACUAAGACAAGCCUCUGGGGUCCAUGUGGCACCAAGGAUGGGGCCUUCUAGUACCUUUCACACAGGCCAGGGACAGCACCUGCUGCGACCCCCACCCCCAGCCUCUGCUGCUUCUCCCGUUGCCCUUCCAGCCACUGCCCUGGGCACCUCCCCUGCUCCCGCCUCCCUGCCUGGGCCCAUCUUUCUUUGCACCUCACCAAUUGCGGGGCUUCCUAGUGCUGGAGGGGAAGGGAGCCUGCUUCCAUUCUCACCACUCUGAAAGAAGACCCUGCAGAGAGGUUUUCUGGAAUUUGGAGCCUAACCUUGGCCUUGACACAGUCCAGAUGAGAAGGCCGUCCCCCAGUUAAGCCAGCCCUCCCUCCCUCUCAAUGCUGGAGAGGAAACCAGGCAGCUGGUUGCUUCAGCAAACCCCCUCCCUAUGGGAAUUGUCCUUUUCUUCCUCAAAUAGACUGGAGUGCAGAGGACUUGCUUCAGAGAGAGCCCCUUUGUAACGCACAUUGCACGGGCCGUGCCCCAUGCCCACUCUGCCACAAACUCCCCUCAGCUGCCCAGCCCCGUGGAGCCAGGCGUGGGCUGAAGUGGGGCCAAUGAAAUGCCUGGAAUGCCAGCCGCAGUGACAGGCCAGCACUCAGAUGCCUCUCGGGAGUUCUGACCGAAGCAGCACUGAGGACUGCUUCAGAGCAGAAGUCUACGCCAUUUUCCCCAGUUCUAGGCAGAAGUAAAGAAUGUCUCUACCUUCUCCCAACCAGCAAUUGAUUCAGAGUCCUGAGCUUUUAAAUUAAAGGGACCCCUCUGUUGCUUUAUGCAGUAGCCAGCUUAUUCAUUUGAGUUCAGGUGAAAUCAUUUUCAAGUAACCUCUUCCUAUCCAGCUUUACUUUUAGUUAUGCUGACAUAAAAACAAUAAAAAUUGUCCUCCUCAGAGUUCACCUGUAAAAGUUCCUGGAUAAUUAGUAAGGAAACAGAAAGAGCAGAUAGUUGUUGCUUCAGAUAAAAGUGAUGUCUGGGUUGGGCACGGUGGCGCAUGCCUGUAAUCCCAGCACUUGGGGAGGCCCAGGUGGAUGGAUCCCUUGAGCUCAGGAGUUUCAGACCAGCCUGGGCAACAUCUCUACAAAAAAUACAAAAAUUAGCCAGGCAUAGUGGCAGGACUGUAGUCCCAGCUACUCAGGAGGCUGAGGUCAGGGGAUGGCUUGAGCCCAGGAGGCACAGAUUGAAGUGAGCUGAGAUUGCGCCACUGUAUUCCAGCCUAGGUGACAGAGCCAGACCCUGUCUCAAAUUAAAAAAAACUCUUUGUGGUCAUUUAAUUUACUUCUGCAUUCUUUUUUUUUUUUUUUUGAAAUGGGCAGUGGUACCAUCUCAGCUCACUGCAACCUCUGCCUUGGGGGUUCAAGUGAUUCUCCUGCCUCAGCCUCCCGAGUAGCUGGGAUUACAGGCACCCGCCACCACGCCCAGCUAAUUUUUGUAUUUUUAGUAGAGACGGGGCUUUGCCAUGUUGACCAGGCUGGACUCAAACUCCUGACCUCAGGUGAUCCGCCCACCUCGGCCUCCCAAAGCACUGGGAUUACAGGAAUGAGCCACUGCACUCGGCCUACUUCUGCAUUCCUUAGAGUACAUCCUAGCUAGGAUAUAUUCACUUGUCUUUAGAGCUAACAGCAGAAGAAAGGUACCUAGAUGCUUAUCUAGCUCUUUAUCUUUCUAGAAAUUCUAGAAGAUGAGAGGGGCAGUGGUGGCUCCAAGGGAGUGAUUUUAGGAUGGACUGGGACAGAGAGGGGCUGCUUACACAUACUCACACAGAGGCCAUUAAUUUAGGGAGUUCAAGGUCCAGGAGGUUGACGGCAUCUAGGCCUGUGGCAGAGUGCACUCCUGCUUUGGGGAAUGUAUGGGCAGCUUCUUGCCUGUAGUUGGAGGGUUAGAGAGAGGGAUCAAUAAUUUCAUGGUUGGACUUGAGUUUGGAGCGAGUGGAGUUAGAUACAAAUUCUAUGUUUUUGGAGAAAGUAUUUGAUCUUCUUGGCUGUGAGGCAAAGCGAGGUUUAAAAAUAUUUUUCACUUAAAAAUAUAUAUAUAUGCAUGUAUAUUUAAUACUGUCUAUGGAUUGUGCCAAUAUCUAUUUCAUGGUUUUGAUAUUGUGUAGUUAUACAAGGAGUUACCACUGAACGAAACUGGGGGAAGGGUACACAGAAUCUCUGUACUUUUUUUGUUGUUGUUGCAAUUUCCUGUAAAUCUAUGAUUAUUUUAAAAUAAAAAAGUUAAAGCAUACGUAUUUACAUUUGAUUAAAUGCAGUGUGAUAUCCUGGGUUGGAUUUUGGAACAAAACAAGGCAUGAGUGAAAAAACUGGUAAAAUCCAAAAAAGCCUUUAGUUAAAAGUAAUACCAGUGUUAAUUUCUUAGUUUUGACAAAUGUGCCAUGGCUGUGUAAGAUGCAAAUGUUAGAGGAAACUGGGCGAAGAAUUUGAGGGAACUCUCUGUACUAUUCUUUGCAGCUUUUCUGUAAAUCUACAAUUAUUCCAAAAUAAAAGUCUAUUAAAAAUGUAAAAAAAAAAAAAAAAAA